rnacentral:misc_RNA from 1 species
GAUGAAGAACGUAGCGAAAUGCGAUAAGUAAUGUGAAUUGCAGAAUUCAGUGAAUCAUCGAAUCUUUGAACGCACCUUGCACCCUUUGGCAUUCUGAAGGGUAUGCUCGUUUGAGUGUCAUUGUACUCUCACACUCCCGAUCUUUGCAUUGGGAGCAGUGGACUUGGGUUUGCUGCUUCACCGUCGCUUACCUCAAAUAGGUUAGUGCAACUCUUGGUUGGACAUAGUACGGCGUGAUAAGUGUUCUUCGCCGGUGUCUCGCAAAGAGGGUGGCCGAUCGGGAUGUUGUGCUCCAAACCGUCUUCGGACAAUCUCUGACGACUUGACCUCAAAUCGAGUAAGACUACCCGCUGAACUUAAGCAUAUCAAUAAGCGGAGGA